UAAGGAUAUGUGCAACCUAUCUACAUCUGCAUGUUUAAAGUUCUGUAAAUAAGUUACAUAAACAAACAGAAGAUGGACUCAGUGAAGUGAUCCAGAUGAAGAUUUCCAAGGGUCAACAAUAAAUGCACAAAUGCAAAAAGAUACAGUGAGCUCUGAAGUGGACGGAAAUGACAGGAAGAGUUAAAAGAUAUUGUAACUGUACUGAAAAAAGAACUGGUAUUAUCAACAUAUGAUGAAUAUUCUACCGAAUGCCAACAAAAACUAUAAGCCAUUAUUGCAG